UACGGAGGGUGCAAGCGUUAUCCGGAUUCACUGGGUUUAAAGGGUGCGUAGGUGGGCCUGUAAGUCAGAGGUGAAAUCCCCGAGCUUAACUUGGGAACUGCCUUUGAUACUAUAGGUCUUGAAUAUCGUGGAGGUAAGCGGAAUAUGUCAUGUAGCGGUGAAAUGCAUAGAGAUGACAUAGAACACCAAUUGCGAAGGCAGCUUGCUACGCGGUCAUUGACACUGAGGCACGAAAGCGUGGGGAGCAAACAGGAUUAGAUACCCUGGUAGUCCACGCCCUAAACUAUGGAUACUCGACAUCAGCGAUACACUGUUGGUGUCUGAGCGAAAGCAUUAAGUAUCCCACCUGGGAAGUACGAUCGCAAGAUUGAA
rnacentral:rRNA from 1 species